AUUGAACGCUGGCGGCAUGCCUUACACAUGCAAGUCGAACGGUAACAGGUCUUCGGAUGCUGACGAGUGGCGAACGGGUGAGUAAUACAUCGGAACGUGCCCGAUCGUGGGGGAUAACGAGGCGAAAGCUUUGCUAAUACCGCAUACGAUCUACGGAUGAAAGCGGGGGAUCUUCGGACCUCGCUCGGACGGAGCGGCCGAUGGCAGAUUAGGUAGUUGGUGGGAUAAAAGCUUACCAAGCCGACGAUCUGUAGCUGGUCUGAGAGGAUGAUCAGCCACACUGGGACUGAGACACGGCCCAGACUCCUACGGGAGGCAGCAGUGGGGAAUUUUGGACAAUGGGCGAAAGCCUGAUCCAGCCAUGCCGCGUGCAGGAUGAAGGCCUUUGGGUUGUAAACUGCUUUUGUACGGAACGAAAAGCCUCUUUCUAAUAAAGAGGGGUCAUGACGGUACCGUAAGAAUAAGCACCGGCUAACUACGUG
rnacentral:rRNA from 1 species